AUGAUCAGCAGGAGAAGUACAUAUUCCUCGAGCUGGAUCUAUCUACACGUGCACCUGUCCCAGGAAGCUGAAGUGGGAGAUCUGAUGAGCAGUGGAGGACUGAACUAAAGCCUUUGACUUUUGCUCUAUACCAAUCAGAUAAAAACUGCAGUGAGAAACAAGCAUCCUCUCUAUCCAAUUGAAAGGAGGAUUGAGGAAUUCCUGUGUGGCUUGAAGGCACAAUAAAAUGGUGUCAAAACACGAGUUAAGAGAGCAGCCAGCAGCUGAAGGAAAAGAACAUCCAAAGAUCUCAUUACCUUUUCUGUCUCUCUAUCCCAUCAUCUACGUAAAUGUAGCCCUCAUUGGCUGGAAUCAUAAUGACAUCUGCAUCUGGAAGUGGCCACCCACAAAACACAUGACAGACUUCAGACCACAUGAAAAGUCUACAGGAGUCUCACUCCGUCACCAGGAGCCAGGCUGGAGCUCAGUGGCGCAACCUUGGUUCACUACAACCUCCGCCUUCCAGGUUCAAGCAAUUCUCCUGCCUCAGCCUCCUGAGUAGCUGGUACUACAGGCAUGCACCACCACGCCCAGCUAAUUUUUUGGUAUUUUUAGUAAGAUGGGGUUUCAUCAUAUUGUCCAGGAUGGUCUCGAUCUCUUGACCUCGUGAUCCACCCGCCUCGGCCUCCUAAAGUGCUGGGAUUACAGGCCAAUAUUCUUUUUAUAUAAACAAAACAACAAAACAGAACAAAACUGAGAAUGCCAAGGAAGAUUUUAAAAAGGAUAAGCAAAUGAUAGGGUACACCAAAUUCCCAAUUAGAUACUAUCCUUAUGCUUUAACAUCCUCCAGUGAAUACUUUCAUUCUGUUUUGUUGUUAAAGUUCAGUAACCCUCAACCUAGAGCACACAUUAGCAAAACAAACACACAAACAAACAAAAAACAACCACGAAGUUAAAAACAUAAGUAAAGUUCUUCAAGAAAUACAAAAUUAUGAGCGCCUCAUUAGAAUUUAUUCCAUAGCCACUAAUGCUAAAGAGUCCAAAAAUUUGUGAGACUUAAUUUAGUGUACAAUUUUGUUAUGUGCCUUAGUCCUUCAUAUUCAUGGGUUCAUCCUCCAUCAAUGGAUUCGAUCACUCUUGGAUAGAAAAAUAUUCAUUAAAUAAUUGCAUCUGUACUGAAUAGGUAUGGACUUUUUCUUAACUGCAUUUUAGGUUUUGGGGUACAUGUGAAGAACAUGCAAGAUAGUUGCAUAGGUACACACGUGGCAGUGUGAUUUGCUGCCUUCCUCCCCUUCACCUAUAUCUGGCAUUUCUCCCCAUGCUAUCUCUCCCCAACUCCCCACCCCACACUGUCCCUCCCCUAUUUCCCCCAACAGACCCCAGUGUGUAGUGCUCCCCUCCCUGUGUCCAUAAGUUCUCAUUGUUCAACACCCACCUAUGAGCAAGAACAUGCGAUAUUUCAUUUUCUGUUCUUGUGUCAGUUUGCUGAGAAUGAUGUUCUCCAGGUUAAUCCAUGUCCCUACAAAGGACACAAACUCAUUGUUUUUGAUUGCUGCAUAAUAUUCCAUGGUGUAUAUGUACCACAUUUUUCCAGUCCAGUCUAUCAUCGAUGAGCAUUUGGGUUGGUUCCAGGUCUUUGCUAUUGUAAACAGUGCUGCAAUGAACAUUUGUGUGCAUGUGUUCUUAUAGUAGAACGACUUAUAGUCCUUUGGAUAUAUACCCAGUAAUCGGAUUGCUGGGUCAAAUGGAAUUUCUAUUUCUAGGUCCUUGAGGACUCACCACACUGUCUUCCACAACAGUUGAACUAAUUUACACUCCCACCAACAGUGUAAAAGUGUUCCUAUUUCUUCAUAUCCUCUCCAGCAUCUGUUGUCUCCAGAUUUUUUAAUGAUCACCAUUCUAACUGGCGUGAGAUGGUAUCUCAAUGUGGUUUUGAUUUGCAUUUCUCUAAUGGCCAGUGAUGAUGAGCAUUUUUUCUUAUGUUUGUUGGCCUCAUGUAUGUCUUCUUUUGUAAAGUAUCUGUUUAUAUUGUUUUCCCACUUUUGAAUGGGCUUGUUUUUUUUUUUUUUUUUUAAUUUUUUUUUUUUUUUUUAAAAAAAAAAAAAAAAAAGUAUGGACUUUUUGAUCUUGUCAUUAUUCCCUAAGCAAUACAGUAUAAUAACUAUGUUCAUGGCACUUACCAUUGUAUUAGGUAUUAUAAGUAAUCUAGAGAUGAUUUAAAUUAUACAGUCAGUUGUGCAUAGGUUAUAUGCAAAUAUUACAUCAUUUUAUUUUAAGGUCUUGAGCAUCCACAAAUGCUGGCAUUUGUGAAGCUCCUGGAACUAUUCUUCCAUGAAUAUUAAGGGAUGACAGUACAAUGUUACCCAAGCAAGGUACCUAAAGUACUGGAUUCACAGGCAAUUUUCCACACAUGAGAAUUAACUUGUUGAAUUUUUAAUUUGUGUUCUAGGAUAGGAAAAAACUUUGGUGUAAGGCAUUCUUGCCUCACCAAACUCCUACCUAUGGAGAUCCUAAGCAUGCAGCAUCUUCACAAAAUCCUGGUAUAAUAAAGGUCACUAUUCAUGUCUUCCUUUCUCA
rnacentral:lncRNA from 13 species